AGUGUAGGCGGGAUCGUAAGUUAGGAGUUUAAUACAUGGGCUUAACCCAUGAGCUGCUUUUAAUACUGCGGUUCUUGAGUAUGGGAGAGGGCGAUGGAAUUCCAGGUGUAGCGGUGGAAUGCGUAGAUAUCUGGAAGAACACCAGUAGCGAAGGCGGUCGCCUGGCCCAAUACUGACGCUGAUGCUCGAAAGCUAGGGGAGCAAACAGGAUUAGAUACCCUGGUAGUCCUAGCCGUAAACGAUGGACACUAGUUGCUGGAGGAGUCAAUCCUUUCGGUGACGAAGCUAACGCAUUAAGUGUCCCGCCUGGGGAGUACGUUCGCAAGGAUGAA
rnacentral:rRNA from 1 species